GACGAACCGUGCGAACGUUGUUCGGAAUCACUGGGCUUAAAGGGCGCGUAGGCGGGCUCGCCAGUCAGGGGUGAAAGCCCACGGCUCAACCGUGGAAGUGCCUUUGAUACUGCGAGCCUCGAGGGAGGUAGGGGCGUGCGGAACUUCCGGUGGAGCGGUGAAAUGCGUAGAUAUCGGAAGGAACACCGGUGGCGAAAGCGGCGCGCUGGACCUCUUCUGACGCUGAGGCGCGAAAGCCAGGGGAGCGAACGGG
rnacentral:rRNA from 1 species